UAAAGACCAAACCUAAGCGGUUCCUGUACUUCACUGAGAAAGUAAUCCCAAAUAUAGCAUACGCUACACUCUUCUGUGAGAUAACAGAAAUGUUAUGCAAGUUGUUCAUAUAUUUCUACUUCGUUUGGUUGUUACAUUAUAUGUGAUUUCAUAUCAUGGUUCAUAUCAUGGUGUGUGUAUUGUUUUUAAGUGCACUGUAGUCUAGACUCAACAUGAUUCUCAGCAGAGUGAUGUCAUGUACUGUUCUCAUGCAGUGAUACUAUGUGAAACACUUUAAUGUUUAUGUCACUAUCGCUCAAGGUCGACCUUACCAGGUCACAGAGACUGUUCAGACUGUUGAUGCCAGAAAUUUGUUUGCUUAUAAGCAGCAUUCAGUACUCUCCAUGACACAUCCUAGAAUAUACGUCAUGUGUUUAUUCCUGAACGUUCUUUUACAUCGUGUUUAUCAAAAGCAUGCAUUGUUUUAGUUUCCUUUUCCGUAUUGAGGUGUAUGUUUCUUCUUGAUGUCGGAUUGUUUAAGCGACUGACCUAGAGUUUAUUCUAAGAUGUACAGUAGGUUACUAAAGGCAAGCAUUCGCUCGUCACACCAAAGACCCGGGUUCGAUUCCCCACAUGGGUACAAUGUGUGAAGCCCAUUUCUGGUGUCCCCCACCGUGAUAUUGCUAAAAGCGGCAUAGAACCCAACUAACUCACUCACUACUAAAGGCAGGCUUUUGUAAUCUUUAUUAAUGUUUCAGUAGCAUUGAAACUUGGUAUACACACUGGUGUUGAAAGUGCCUUCGAAUAUUCCAGUCUUUUCCAUGAAGCAAGUGAAAAUGAAGGCUGGGUUCAUAAGCUGCUUAUGAUGAAUCAUGAGCAUUUGUAUAUACAUGAGACAAGAGUUAUGCCCCUUGCUAGACAGGCAUACAUUGGAUAUUUUUACACGGCAACAUGUCGACAUACCGUCGAAUGAAACAAGGGAUCAUUUCCUUACCUUAAAUUGUAAGGUUUUCAAUAUGGCAUGUAAAACUUUACAUAAAAGACGAUUGCUUAACUCUUUUGCUGUGCAUGAUAGUUUUAAGUUUAAGAUGUUUCAUUUGAACAAAACAAUCUGACUUCAUUCAAAUGUAAGUAGGGUUCACUUCCAAAACAUCUCAUUAUUUUAUACAAUACAUUGUUUAUCAGGAAACUGUUCAACUAGUGCCUUUUGCUGUUCAGUAAUUCUGAAUUUUCCGUUUGUGAUUCUCUAGCAGGAAUUACAACAGCAGGUAGGGUUUGUGUCCAGUGACAACUUCUGAACUUUCUGUAUUUCAGCAAAAUAUACACCUGUUAUUUUAUACAUUUUAAGAUACAUGAAGAUAAAAUGUGAGUUGUGUCUUGUUUCAUGUGUAUAGCUCUGGAAUCUUUCAGUACUGCCUUCAAACAAGGAGGAUUUGAAAUAUCAAGCUAUUGUGCCUUUCUAUAUACAUACAUCAACCUGGUGAGGUGCCUUGUGACACAGUUACUGUCAAAGUAAUUAUGUAUAACUCAAUUUACUUUCAAUGUCCAUUAGUAGAAUACAUUAUAGUAAACAAUGAAGGUACAUUCCAUAUUUCUAUUCACUGUGACAAAAAUUGUUUCAACGUCAUGAUUAUAGAACGGCUAGUAUUGAAAACAAAGUGUCUUUCUCACAUUUGCCCUACUUUCACUGUCCAGGGUCAAGACAACCUCCACACAGGCACCAGCAUGUGACCAAGUUGUCUCCCUUUCUGACACCUGCCUGUUGUUCAUUUAAAUAACACUAAGUUUUUCACUUUAGAUCCAGGUAGGCCAAGUUGUAGGGCAAGUCUUGUAAAAUGUCAUGUUUGUAUACAUUCACGUGAAAUAAAAGUCAUUAUUUAGGAA